UUACAGCCAUACCAUAUUGAAACACAGGUUCCAGUAUGAUCACUGAAGUUAAGUAACAUCAAGCCUGGUCAGUAUCUAGAUGGGUGACUGCUUGGGAAUACCAGAUGCUGCAA